rnacentral:ncRNA from 1 species
CCCGAAAAUGGCAAACUCAUCGCGAGAUGAGGGCGCAAAGUUAUGGGUCUGAGAUAAUCAGAUCGCCAGACUGCCGAAA